UGCAAACCUCAGACACACACUUGUCACAUAAUAGUACUGUAUGUAAUUUAAAAUUGGUUACCAUGCCUCACCACAGAGGGGCGCACCAGCCCUUUACCCACUGUCAAGUGUAUGGUCUCUCUCGCUGAUUAGAGAGACCCCAUUAGUGAGUCAGCUGAAUGAACAUCGGAACGAGUCUUAUGUUGGAUGAGAGGAGCCGUUUCGCCGUGUGAGCCCUCUGACAGAACGCCGGUUCAGUGGCAAGCCAGGAAGGACGAUCGAUUGGACGGAACGGUGCACGGUGUUGCCAGAUAAGAAAAUAAUACACAAAAAUCUACCUGGGUAGUGAUA